AUUGAACGCUGGCGGCAGGCCUAACACAUGCAAGUCGAGCGGAUGAAGGGAGCUUGCUCCUGGAUUCAGCGGCGGACGGGUGAGUAAUGCCUAGGAAUCUGCCUGGUAGUGGGGGAUAACGUCCGGAAACGGGCGCUAAUACCGCAUACGUCCUGAGGGAGAAAGUGGGGGAUCUUCGGACCUCACGCUAUCAGAUGAGCCUAGGUCGGAUUAGCUAGUUGGUGGGGUAAAGGCCUACCAAGGCGACGAUCCGUAACUGGUCUGAGAGGAUGAUCAGUCACCCUGGAACUGAGACACGGUCCAGAGUCCUAAGGGAGGCAGCAGUGGGGUACAUUGGACAAUGGGCGAAAGCCUGAUCCAGCCAUGCCGCGUGUGUGAAGAAGGUCUUCGGAUUGUAAAGAACUUUAAGUUGGGAGGAAGGGCAGUAAGUUAAUACCUUGCUGUUUUGACGUUAACAACAGAAUAAGCACCGGCUAACUUCGUG
rnacentral:rRNA from 1 species